UCCACGUUUCUUUAAAAUCUACGGACACCACAUAUAUUUCUUCUUCUCUUUGCUCUUUAGAACUUUAAAGAACAAUUGCUAUGUUUUCCAGUUGUCCUCACUUGACAAUUGACAUAGAAUACACAUUGAGAUCUUGUUCAAAUGAUAAUUUUUUUUUUCUGUUAACAACAAUUUGUCAGGCAUCUUUGUUUUCUGAUUUUCUCAACUAUUUUGGUGUUAGACAAGAAGAGUUUGGGGCGGAAAUUGGAGCUCCCCGACAAUAAUGGUGAACUUUUUCAGGGAAACAUCCAACUCAACCCUAAUCUGAAGGGCUGGCCAAAAUUACUUGCUUCAAAUUUUCCUUGAAGAAUUGCCACUACUUGCUCCUGCCACCAUCAUUACAGGUUACAGCGUUGUAUUCUGGCAUGAAAUAGUAUUGAUACACGCGAGCUGUUACUUGUAACUUGCAAUCAGUCUGAGAAAUUCAAUGAUCCAAGAAUCUUGUGUAUAUUACUAAAUUUCUAUUUUUAUUUAUAUUUUUCCAAUUUUAAGUUGUUCCGCUUGAGAUUCAACAGCUAAAAUCAAUUGUACUAAUGUAUCUGUUUUUAAUUUGUUGGGCCGGUGUCAGCACGGGCAUAUUGUGUCUAGUAUAACAAUAAAUGUGAUUAAUAAUUUUUAAUAUGAUACACGCA